UACGUAGGGUGCGAGCGUUGUCCGGAAUUACUGGGCGUAAAGAGCUCGUAGGCGGUUUGUCGCGUUGUUCGUGAAAACUCACAGCUUAACUGUGGGCGUGCGGGCGAUACGGGCGGACUGGAGUACUGCAGGGGAGACUGGAAUUCCUGGUGUAGCGGUGGAAUGCGCAGAUAUCAGGAGGAACACCGGUGGCGAAGGCGGGUCUCUGGGCAGUAACUGACGCUGAGGAGCGAAAGCGUGGGGAGCGAACAGG
rnacentral:rRNA from 1 species